rnacentral:rRNA from 1 species
GACGAACGCUGGCGGCGUGCUUAACACAUGCAAGUCGAACGAUGAAGCUGGAGCUUGCUCCGGUGGAUUAGUGGCGAACGGGUGAGUAACACGUGAGAAAUCUGCCCUUCACUCUGGGAUAACUGCGGGAAACUGUAGCUAAUACCGGAUACUUUCCCUGGUGGGCAUCCACUAGGGAAGAAAGAAUUUCGGUGAAGGAUGAUCUCGCGGCCUAUCAGCUAGUUGGUGAGGUAAUGGCUCACCAAGGCGACGACGGGUAGCCGGCCUGAGAGGGUGACCGGCCACACUGGGACUGAGACACGGCCCAGACUCCUACGGGAGGCAGCAGUGGGGAAUAUUGCACAAUGGGCGAAAGCCUGAUGCAGCAACGCCGCGUGAGGGAUGAAGGCCUUCGGGUUGUAAACCUCUUUUAGCAGGGAAGAAGCGAAAGUGACGGUACCUGCAGGAAAAGCACCGGCUAACUACGUGCCAGCCGCCGCGGUAA